rnacentral:rRNA from 1 species
AGGUCGGCAACGACCACCCAGGGCCGGAAAGUUGGUCAAACCCGGUCAUUUAGAGGAAGUAAAAGUCGUAACAAGGUCUCCGUAGGUGAACCUGCGGAGGGAUCAUUACAAGUGACCCCGGUCUAACCACCGGGAUGUUCAUAACCCUUUGUUGUCCGACUCUGUUGCCUCCGGGGCGACCCUGCCUUCGGGCGGGGGCUCCGGGUGGACACUUCAAACUCUUGCGUAACUUUGCAGUCUGAGUAAACUUAAUUAAUAAAUUAAAACUUUUAACAACGGAUCUCUUGGUUCUGGCAUCGAUGAAGAACGCAGCGAAAUGCGAUAAGUAAUGUGAAUUGCAGAAUUCAGUGAAUCAUCGAAUCUUUGAACGCACAUUGCGCCCCCUGGUAUUCCGGGGGGCAUGCCUGUUCGAGCGUCAUUUCACCACUCAAGCCUCGCUUGGUAUUGGGCAACGCGGUCCGCCGCGUGCCUCAAAUCGACCGGCUGGGUCUUCUGUCCCCUAAGCGUUGUGGAAACUAUUCGCUAAAGGGUGUUCGGGAGGCUACGCCGUAAAACAACCCCAUUUCUAAGGUUGACCUCGGAUCAGGUAGGGAUACCCGCUGAACUUAAGCAUAUCAAUAAGCGGAGGAAAAGAAACCAACAGGGAUUGCUCUAGUAACGGCGAGUGAAGCAGCAAUAGCUCAAAUUUGAAAUCUGGCG